rnacentral:rRNA from 1 species
AAUGAACGCUGGCGGCAGGCCUAAAACAUGCAAGUCGAACGCUCUAGCAAUAGAGAGUGGCGCACGGGUGAGUAACACGUGGGAAUAUGCCUUUUGGUACGGAACAACGUCUGGAAACGGACGCUAAUACCGUAUGGUCCCUCCGGGGUAAAGAUUUAUCGCCAAAAGAUUAGCCGCGUCUGAUUAGCUAGUUGGUGAGGUAAUGGCUCACCAAGGCGACGAUCAGUAGCUGGUCUGAGAGGACGAUCAGCCACACUGGGACUGAGACACGGCCCAGACUCCUACGGGAGGCAGCAGUUAGGAAUAUUGGACAAUGGGCGCAAGCCUGAUCCAGCCAUGCCGCGUGAGUGAUGAAGGCCUUCGGGUUGUAAAGCUCUUUAGUCCACGAAUAUAAUGACUGUAGUGGAAGAAUAAGCCCCGGCUAACUUCGUGCCAGCCGCCGCAGUAACAC